UACGGGGGGGGCAAGCGUUGUUCGGAAUUACUGGGCGUAAAGGGCUCGUAGGUGGCCAACUAAGUCAGACGUGAAAUCCCUCGGCUUAACCGGGGAACUGCGUCUGAUACUGGAUGGCUUGAGUUCGGGAGAGGGAUGCGGAAUUCCAGGUGUAGCGGUGAAAUGCGUAGAUAUCAGGAGGAACACCGGCGGCGAAGGCGGCUACCUGGUCCACAACUGACGUUCAGGUACGAAAGCGUGGGGAGCAAACAGG
rnacentral:rRNA from 1 species